rnacentral:rRNA from 1 species
UGGUGGAGUGAUUUGUCUGGUUAAUUCCGUUAACGAACGAGACCUCGACCUGCUAAAUAGUAAGGCAAACCCUUCGGGGUUUGUACUAACUUCUUAGAGGGACUAUCGGUGUGUAGCCGAUGGAAGUUCGAGGCAAUAACA